rnacentral:misc_RNA from 1 species
UCCUCCUUACAGAGGCAGUUUUGUCCGAGUUCUACAUUUCUGCAGCGUUCUCGUAUAUGUCAAGCCUUGGUAAGGUUCUUCGCGUUGCAUCGAAUUAAUCCGCAUGCUCCGCCGCUUGUGCGGGUCCCCGUCAAUUCCUUUGAGUUUUAGCCUUGCGGCCGUACUCCCCAGGCGGGGAACUUAAUGCGUUAGCUGCGUCACGGAGACCGUGGAAUGGUCCCCACAACUAGUUCCCAACGUUUACGGGGUGGACUAC